GACGAACGCUGGCGGCGUGCUUAACACAUGCAAGUCGAACGGAAAGGCCCUGCUUUUGUGGGGUGCUCGAGUGGCGAACGGGUGAGUAACACGUGAGUAACCUGCCCUUGACUUUGGGAUAACUUCAGGAAACUGGGGCUAAUACCGGAUAGGAGCUCCUGCUGCAUGGCGGGGGUUGGAAAGUUUCGGCGGUUGGGGAUGGACUCGCGGCUUAUCAGCUUGUUGGUGGGGUAGUGGCUUACCAAGGCUUUGACGGGUAGCCGGCCUGAGAGGGUGACCGGCCACAUUGGGACUGAGAUACGGCCCAGACUCCUACGGGAGGCAGCAGUGGAGAAUAUUGCACAAUGGGCGGAAGCCUGAUGCAGCAACGCCGCGUGCGGGAUGACGGCCUUCGGGUUGUAAACCGCUUUCGCCUGUGACGAAGCGUGAGUGACGGUAAUGGGUAAAGAAGCACCGGCUAACUACGUG
rnacentral:rRNA from 1 species